GUCUACGGCCAUGCUACCCUGAACACACCAUAUCUUGUCUAAUCUCGGAAGGUAAGCAGGGUCGGGCCUGGUUAGUACUUGGAUGGAAGACCACCUAGGAAGACCAGGUGCUGUAGGCG
rnacentral:rRNA from 1 species